GGAAAAAUAAUGUGCAAGCAACUCAAGCACUUAAAAUGCCUGAGGGUCCUGAGCACGCUGCUCAGUGAAGCUUCGCUGUGACCAGAGGUGUGAGUGCUUUUCAGCCCAUCACAGUGGCAGAUGUUGACGCUGUGUGACACAGGAACCACCUGGGCCACAGACUGCUGAACUUUCCACUGAAAUCACGGAAGGCUCUGGCAUUGCGUGGGUAUUCGAGUCACUAUUUGGGUCACGCUCUGAGAAAAUGUGCAAAGCUGUUUGUCUCCCAGUCAGAGACGAAUGGGAGCGACUGCUGGCAUACUGAGGUGUCACACUGAAGAAGAGUGCAGGCAGAGCUGGGCUGGCAAGAACGUGGUCUGCAAGGAACUUGCUUCUUUUGGAUAGGUCGUAAAGCAGGACUGAGCUCAUUGUCUUAGAGUUGAAGGAUGCCUUAGCCUAGAACGAUGCAAAAGGAGUUGGGUCAGACCACCCUAGAGGAGCAUGGAAAUGAGCCAUUUCCACACCAUUUGCCUGGAAGAUCCACACUUUUCUUUGGAUUCAGUCUCUUCAAUUUGAUAAAGACUCAUAAAAGAAGAUGUAGUAAAAAUGUCCAGAUAAACGCCUGGUUUGUGAUCCUCAUAGUCCCUCUUGAAAUCACAAUUCUCAUUUCGAUAGUGAGGAACUGUGACAUACACAAAUCAAUCGAGUUGUCUUAAUCAAGCAAGGAGAUGCUUAGAGCUGGAAUGUAAGGAGCUGAGCUUAGUGUUCUUAAUUCAGACUGCCAGACCAUGCUGUCCUCCAAAGUGUUAGGUUAGUAGGCUUUAUGAACUAUUCUUUUUAUUUCACAUGUUUUAUGUGAAAUUUAUCAAUUCUACUCUCUGCAAGAUAACAUUGUGUGGAGCACAUAGAAAAUCACUACUUUUAGGUGCCAAUCAGUUUACCUGCUUAGCAUGGUGCCACUGCCGCCUUUGUCUGAAGGCAUUAAAUUCUUGACAGAGCGUGGCUCUUCUUCUGAAGGGACACUGCCCAAAAGUGUGCCAUGGUUUUGAGAGCCAGGGCCUGUGGUGACGAAGGGGAGCCCUGCAGUCCCCCGCAGCAGCCUGGAGAGUACCCAGCAAAGACCUCAACCAGGGCCAUGAAAAUUAGCCAGCAUAGGUACUGUGCCAAAUCAUUUGAGAGAAAUGCCAGCUGGCCGAGCUGUUAAGCUGUCUUUUCUAGGAGGGAUUCCACUUUCUAGAAAUUUGCCUACUGCAUAUCUAAUGUCUAUUCUCAGUUUACUUUCG
rnacentral:lncRNA from 1 species